rnacentral:rRNA from 1 species
CCUACGGGCGGCAGCAGUGAGGAAUAUUGGUCAAUGGACGAGAGUCUGAACCAGCCCAGUAGCGUGAAGGAUGACUGCCCUAUGGGUUGUAAACUUCUUUUAUAAAGGAAUAAAACGAGGCACGUGUGCCUUUUUGCAUGUACUUUAUGAAUAAGGAUCGGCUAACUCCGUGCCAGCAGCCGCGGUAAUACGGAGGAUCCGAGCGUUAUCCGGAUUUAUUGGGUUUAAAGGUAGCGUAGAUGGGUUGUUAAGUCAGUUGUGAAAGUUUGCGGCUCAACCGUAAAAUUGCAAUUGAUACUGGCAGUCGUGAGUACAGUUGAGGUAGGCGGAAUUCGGAGUGUAGCGGUGAAAUGCUUAGAUAGCACGAAGAACCCCGAUUGCGAAGGCAGCUUACUAAACUGUGACUGACAUUGAUGCUCGAAAGUGUGGGUAUCAAACAGGAUUAGAUACCCCAGUAGUC